rnacentral:rRNA from 1 species
UACGUAGGGGGCAAGCGUUGUCCGGAAUUAUUGGGCGUAAAGCGCACGCAGGCGGUUCGCCAAGUUCGGAGUGACAAUCACCGGCUUAACCGGUGAACGACUUCGAAAACUGGUGGACUUGAGAGCGAGAGAGGGACAUGGAACUCCGGGUGGAGCAGUGAAAUGCGUAGAGAUCCGGAAGAACACCAAUGGCGAAGGCAGUGUCCUGGCUCGUAACACGCUUUAUUCCGAUGGCCAACGGAUGCUUACGCAUCUACUGCUACGCAGUCAGGCCAUCGGCAAUGAAGUUCUGACGCUCAUGUGCGAAAGCCAGGGGAGGCGAACGGG